rnacentral:lncRNA from 1 species
GAAGUGGCAGAAUGAGGGAAUAUUAAAGAGGACUAGAAGCAGCAAAGACAUGCACCAUUACCCCAAAAUGAGAAAGGAGGACUUAUAAAGAAAAAGAUCAUUACACAUAAAAAAUAAAGAUUGUGUGGCAUAUUCUU